GCACUCAGCGAUAGCUCAGCAAGGAAGAGCGCCUUGAGUGGGAGCCAUGCCGGGUUCGAAUCCCGACCUGAGUGCA
rnacentral:tRNA from 1 species